GCCGGGGUGUUGGAACAGGUAGACAAUGGGGACUUAAAAUCCCCUGGGCCCUUUGUGCCCGUGCGGGUUCGAGUCCCGCUCCCGGCACCA
rnacentral:tRNA from 1 species